rnacentral:rRNA from 1 species
UACGUAGGCAGCGAGCGUUGUUCGGAGUUACUGGGCGUAAAGCGUGUGUAGGCGGCUUCGCAAGUUGGAUGUGAAGUCCCACGGCUCAACCGUGGACGUGCAUCCAAAACUGCGAGGCUCGAGUAUGGAAGAGGGUCGCAGAAUUCCCGGUGUAGAGGUGAAAUUCGUAGAUAUCGGGAGGAAUACCAGUGGCGAAGGCGGCGACCUGGGCCAAUACUGACGCUGAGGUGCGAAAGCGUGGGGAGCAAACAGG